rnacentral:ncRNA from 2 species
CUCUCCGAGGAGCGUUGCAGCGGCCCCCACACAUCAGGCGUGGUCGCGAGGCUCGGAGUCAUACCUGCAACGACGCUCGCCCACG